CCUACGGGAGGCAGCAGUAGGGAAUUUUCGUCAAUGGGCACAAGCCUGAACGAGCGAUGCCGCGUGAGUGAAGAAGGCCUUCGGGUCGUAAAGCUCUGUUGCGGGGGAAAAAAGGCAGCAUCAGGAAAUGGGUGCUGACUGAUGGUGCCCCGCCAGAAAGUCACGGCUAACUACGUGCCAGCAGCCGCGGUAAUACGUAGGUGGCGAGCGUUAUCCGGAAUGGUUGGGCGUAAAGGGUGCGCAGGCGGUCCUGCAAGUCUGGAGUGAAACGCAUGAGCUCAACUCAUGCAUGGCUUUGGAAACUGGAGGACUGGAGAGCAGGAGAGGGCGGUGGAACGCCAUGUGUAGCGGUAAAAUGCGUAGAUAUAUGGAAGAACACCAGUGGCGAAGGCGGCCGCCUGGCCUGUUGCUGACGCUGAGGCACGAAAGCGUGGGGAGCAAAUAGGAUUAGAUACCCUUGUAGUC
rnacentral:rRNA from 1 species